rnacentral:rRNA from 1 species
AUACGUAGGGUGCAAGCGUUGUCCGGAAUUAUUGGGCGUAAAGAGCUCGUAGGCGGCUUGUCGCGUCUGCUGUGAAAUCCCGGGGCUCAACUCCGGGUCUGCAGUGGGUACGGGCAAGCUAGAGUGCGGUAGGGGAGAUUGGAAUUCCUGGUGUAGCGGUGGAAUGCGCAGAUAUCAGGAGGAACACCGAUGGCGAAGGCAGAUCUCUGGGCCGUAACUGACGCUGAGGAGCGAAAGCAU